rnacentral:lncRNA from 10 species
AUAGUAAAGUGAAUUCAACAGCCUACUGCUCACUUUAAAACACCGGGGUACCUCUGUGCUUCCCAGAUAUUAUCGUUUCCCAUGGCAGGUUCUAAACUGGUAGUCUGAAGCCUAGCUCUGGUCUGCAGACAUGUUUUAUUUGGACUCCACAGUAUUUUUACAAACUUUGAGCCAAAAUGUAAAAAUAGGGAGAUUUCACACCAAAAAAAUCAGAGUCACUUCACUUUAAUGAGAAUAUGUGACAAGACUAGACUCUCGUGUGGCAUGGAUCCUUCUUCGUAUGACAGUGAGCAGCUGGAACUGGCUAGUGACUACCCUAAGAUGCCACAGUUUCCACCGUUCCCUACCAUUGACCUGACUUUGGGGCUGAGUUUUCAUUUACUGAUCUUGGGGCCAGUUUUCAUUUACUGAUCUUUGUACUUGCUAUGUUAUUUAUCUCAAAGUAAAGAAAUAUUUAUCUGG